GAAUAUUGGACAAUGGGCGCAAGCCUGAUCCAGCCAUGCCGCGUGAGUGAAGAAGGCCCUAGGGUUGUAAAGCUCUUUCAGCGGGGACGAUAAUGACGGUACCCGCAGAAGAAGCCCCGGCUAACUUCGUGCCAGCAGCCGCGGUAAUACGAAGGGGGCUAGCGUUGUUCGGAUUUACUGGGCGUAAAGGGCGCGUAGGCGGACAUUUAAGUCAGGGGUGAAAUGCCAAGGCUCAACCUUGGAACGGCCUUUGAUACUGGGUGUCUGGAGUUCGGGAGAGGUGAGUGGAAUUCCGAGUGUAGAGGUGAAAUUCGUAGAUAUUCGGAGGAACACCAGAAGCGAAGGCGGCUCACUGGCCCGAGACUGACGCUGAGGCGCGAAAGCGUGGGGAGCAAACAGG
rnacentral:rRNA from 1 species